rnacentral:rRNA from 1 species
GACGAACGCUGGCGGCGUGCUUAACACAUGAAAGUCGAGCGGUAAGGCCCCUUCGGGGGUACACGAGCGGCGAACGGGUGAGUAACACGUGAGCCAUCUGCCCUUAACACGGGGAUAACUUCGGGAAACCGGAGCUAAUAACCGAUAAGACAACCUCGGGCAUCCGCAGGUGGGGGAAACCUCCGGCGGUGAAGGAUGAGCACGCGGCCUAUCAGCUUGUUGGUGGGGUAACGGCCCACCAAGGCAACGACGAGUAGCCGGCCGGAGAGGGUGACCGGCCACACGGGGACUGAGACACGGCCCAGACUCCUACGGGAGGCAGCAGUGGGGAAUAUUGGACAAUGGGCGAAAGCCUGAUCCAGCAACGCCGCGUGAGGGAUGACGGCCUUCGGGUUGUAAACCUCUUUCAGCAGGGACGAAGCGCAAGUGACGGUACCUGCAGAAGAAGCACCGGCCAACUACGUGCCAGCCGCCGCCGUAAUAC